GGUGGCCGACGAGGCUGUCCAGGUCCAGGAGGUGCACGUGCUCAUUGUGGACGACCGUGUCAUCAUCGCCAAGAUCCUUCGCGAGUCCAAGUACAGAGUUACAACCCUGGAGUCGGCGACGAGGGCUCUGGAACUGCUCUGCCUGGGGCUCAUCACCAACGCCACGCUAAGCUCCAUUUGGUCCAUGGAGCCUGAACCGACGGCAGUGGUCGCCUCGGGCGAUGUCCUCCCUGAUGCGGCAGGAGUUCUUCAUGCGGCGAGGCGUUCUGAGCACACCACCGUCAUCGUGAGGAAGGCAUAAGUGUCCGUCUGCCCAUGGGAAGGCAGCCGAGCAUGGUCAUGGGGAUGCUCCUCUGCCUGACGAUCUUCGUCCUUGGGAAAAGGUAAGCAACUGAGUUGGUGGAGCGAUAUCUCCAGAUUGCAGCCAAUGAAUGAGAGAUAAAAACAUUGAGCUAUGUUGUAUUGAUGAAGAUGUCGGAAAAAGCAUCAUUUGAAGUGAAAGAAACACAUUGGAAGAGUAUGCAUAUACCCUCACGCGGCUUCAUAGCAAAUUCAUGGUGAAGGUCGAAAUGCCAGUGGAGGUGUGAUUCAGACCGCAUGUGAGCUCGGUCAACGUUGUGGUGCACGUAGGGCCUGCCGUACAACCUAGCUUGGAAAGUUUGAUGCACUAAGGGAGUGACAUUACUCGGCUGGAGCAGACCGGUUCCCAGAACACUAGCGAGUUCUUGCUGCCGAUCAUCCAGGCGGCAGCAUCCGUUGGGCCAUCUAAUGAUGAGGGUGAAAUGUGGUAGUUUUCAGGAGCGUGUCAGUAUUCUGCGGAAAGCUCAAGAACAGCAACUUGAAGUCAUUGACGUCGGAUACAGAUUUGAACACCUUCCCUUUCCAACAAAGAGGUAAACUGGGGUCCCACACUUGUUGCAUUGACCUCCUAAGAACAGGUUGGAGCUACAAAAUUAGUCUCAUUAAUUCACUAAUCAUUCUUCAAAUUAUUGUCAACUGGGGAGUAGUAUUGUUCUGAUCUAUCGCAGAAAUUGUCGCUAGAUAUGGCUGGUCAGUGAAGUAGGUGCAGGUGCUACCACUAUCAGAUAACACCUCCAUUGGCUUGCAGCUUGUUCCAUGAACCUACUCAGCGGAAGAGAAAGCUAACUGUCCUUAUAGUGGUCUGAAGCUUGAGGAUUCGAGCAUAGAGAGCGAGCAUGAGAGUCAUGGUGUCUGCUUGUAUUGCAAAUGACAGCAAUAGUUUCAUGUAGCAAGGUGGGCUAGGUUGGGGAGUACGAGAAGGAGGAGAGAAGGCAUGUAACGUUAGCGCCUGAGCUGCUCUACGCCUGCAUCUUUGGUUGUAGCCUCGCCGGAUUUUACAUGACCAACAAGUAUCAGUAUUUGUGUACUUUAUUUAGUCUGCAUCUAUCGUUACGUCCUUUGGUCGAUUUUGGAUAUGCUAAAUGGUCUGCGAAUCUGCUGAUUGACUGCAUAAA